rnacentral:rRNA from 1 species
AUACGUAGGUGGCAAGCGUUGUCCGGAAUUAUUGGGCGUAAAGCGCGCGCAGGCGGUCCUUUAAGUCUGAUGUGAAAGCCCACGGCUCAACCGUGGAGGGUCAUUGGAAACUGGAGGACUUGAGUGCAGAAGAGGAAAGUGGAAUUCCAAGUGUAGCGGUGAAAUGCGUAGAGAUUUGGAGGAACACCAGUGGCGAAGGCGACUUUCUGGUCUGUAACUGACGCUGAGGCGCGAAAGCGUGGGGAGCAAACAGGAUUAGAUACCCUGGUAGUCCACGCUGUAAACGAUGAGUGCUAAGUGUUAGGGGGUUUCCGCCCCUUAGUGCUGCAGCUAACGCAUUAAGCACUCCGCCUGGGGAGUACGGUCGCAAGACUGAAACUCAAAUGAAUUGACGGGG